rnacentral:rRNA from 1 species
ACUCCUACGGGAGGCAGCAGUGGGGAAUAUUGGACAAUGGGCGCAAGCCUGAUCCAGCCAUGCCGCGUGAGUGAUGAAGGCCCUAGGGUUGUAAAGCUCUUUCACCGGUG